UACGUAGGGCGCAAGCGUUGUCCGGAAUUAUUGGGCGUAAAGGGUUCGUAGGCGGUUUGUCGCGUCUGCUGUGAAAACCUAAGGCUCAACCUUGGGCUUGCAGUGGGUACGGGCAGACUAGAGUGCGGUAGGGGUGACUGGAAUUCCUGGUGUAGCGGUGGAAUGCGCAGAUAUCAGGAGGAACACCGAUGGCGAAGGCAGGUCACUGGGCCGCAACUGACGCUGAGGAGCGAAAGCGUGGGGAGCGAACAGG
rnacentral:rRNA from 1 species